UACGUAGGGUGCGAGCGUUAAUCGGAAUUAUUGGGCGUAAAGGGUGCGUAGGCGGCAUGAUAAGUUAUUGGCGGCAAAUCGAGGCUCAACCUCGUGGAAACUGAUAAUACUGUCUUGCUUGAGUGCAGAAGAGGUUAACGGAACUCCAUGUGGAGCGGUAAAAUGUGUAGAUAUAUGGAAGAACAUCAAUAACGGCGAAGGCAGUUAACUAUUCUGUUACUGACGUUGAGGCACGAAAGCGUGGGGAGCAAAAAGG
rnacentral:rRNA from 1 species